rnacentral:lncRNA from 1 species
AUAUGAAUGUUUUGCCUAUAUGUAUGUUUAUGUACCAAGAGGAUUCACGUCAGCAGAGGUCAGAGGGGAAUAUUGAAUCUUAUGGAACUAGAGUUGCAGACAGUUGUGAACCAUCACUUUAGUUCUGAGUACUGAAGCUGAGUUCUCUUCUAGAGAAGCAAUUGCCCUAAACAGUUAUUAUUUAAUGAGCCCAAGAAAUGACUCCUUUUCUGAGCAUCAUGAAGAAAGUCCUCUCAUGUGUUUUUCAUAAAACAUUCAGUGAUUUGGGCUUCUGCAUUUAAGUCUAUGACUCAUCCCGAGAGUUACUUUGUGUGAACAAUGACAGGCAGCGGUACAACAAAUGCUCCACAUACAGAAGGCCCUGAGUUUGGUUUGCA